GGGACUAUAACUCAGUUGGUAGAGUGCUUGCCUCACAUGCACAAGGCCCUGGGUUCAAUCCCCAGCACCCCA
rnacentral:tRNA from 1 species